rfam:Erysiphe necator strain c c-strain-scaffold_14, whole genome shotgun sequence.
GGGGACAUAGUUUAACAGGUAAAACUACAAUUUUGCAUAUUGUUAUUUCAGGCUCGAGUCCUGAUGUCUCCA